GAUGAACGCUGGCGGCGUGCCUAAUACAUGCAAGUCGAGCGAACGGACGAGAAGCUUGCUUCUCUGAUGUUAGCGGCGGACGGGUGAGUAACACGUGGAUAACCUACCUAUAAGACUGGGAUAACUUCGGGAAACCGGAGCUACUACCGGAUAAUAUUUUGAACCGCAUGGUUCAAAAGUGAAAGACGGUCUUGCUGUCACUUAUAGCUGGAUCCGCGCUGCAUUAGCUAGUUGGUAAGGUAACGGCUUACCAAGGCAACGAUGCAUACCCGACCUGAGAGGGUGAUCGGCCACACUGGAACUGAGGCACGGUCCAGACUCCUACGGGAGGCAGCAGUAGGGAAUCUUCCGGAAUGAGCGAAAGCCUGACAGAGCAACGCCGCGUGAGUGAUGAAGGUCUUCGGAUCGUAAAGCUCUGUUAUUAGGGAGGAACAUAUGUGUAAGUAACUGUGCACAUCUUGACGGUACCUAAUCAGAAAGCCACGGCUAACUACGUG
rnacentral:rRNA from 1 species